UGAGGAAUAUUGCGCAAUGAGCGAAAGCUAGACGCAGCAACGCCGCGUGGACGAUGAAGGCCUUCGGGUCGUAAAGUCCUUUUCAGAGGGACGAGUGAGGACGGUACCUCUGGAAUAAGUCACGGCUAACUACGUGCCAGCAGCCGCGGUAAAACGUAGGUGGCGAGCGUUAUCCGGAUUCACCGGGCGUAAAGCGCCUGCAGGCGGUCUCGUAAGUGGGAUGUGAAAUCUCCUGGCUUAACUGGGAGGGGCCAUUCCAUACUGCGAGGCUUGAGGGCAGAAGAGGGAAGCGGAAUUCCCGGUGUAGUGGUGAAAUGCGUAGAUAUCGGGAGGAACACCAGUGGCGAAGGCGGCUUCCUGGCCUGCUCCUGACGCUAAGAGGCGAAAGCUAGGGGAGCGAACGGGAUUAGAAACCCCGGUAGUCCUAGCUAUAAACGAUGGAUACUGGGUGUCGGUGGUCCUAACCCCAUCGGUGCCGAAGCUAACGCGUUAAGUAUCCCGCCUGGGGACUACGGCCGCAAGGUUA
rnacentral:rRNA from 1 species